rnacentral:rRNA from 1 species
UACGAAGGGGGCUAGCGUUGCUCGGAAUCACUGGGCGUAAAGGGUGCGUAGGCGGGUCUUUUAGUCCGGGGUGAAAUCCUGGAGCUCAACUCCAGAACUGCCUUUGAUACUGAAGAUCUUGAGUUCGGAAGAGGUGAGUGGAACUGCGAGUGUAGAGGUGAAAUUCGUAGAUAUUCGCAAGAACACCAGUGGCGAAGGCGGCUCACUGGCCCGAUACUGACGCUGAGGCACGAAAGCGUGGGGAGCAAACAGG